rnacentral:rRNA from 1 species
GAUGAACGCUAGCGGCAGGCUUAAUACAUGCAAGUCGUGGGGCAGUACAGUGUAGCAAUACAUGGGUGGCGACCGGCAAACGGGUGCGGAACACGUACGCAACCUUCCUUCAAGUGGGGGAUAGCCCGGGGAAACCCGGAUUAAUACCGCAUAAUAUAAGGAACGGCAUCGUUUUUUAUUGAAAGAUUUAUUGGAUAGAG